rnacentral:rRNA from 1 species
UACAGAGGGUGCGAGCGUUUAAUCGGAAUUACUGGGCGUAAAGCGCACGUAGUCGGCUUUGCAAGUCGGGUGUGAAAUCCCCGGGCUUAACCUGGGAACUGCAUCCGAGACUGCAUUGCUAGAGUAUGGGAGAGGGAAGCGGAAUUUCUGGUGUAGCAGUGAAAUGCGUAGAUAUCAGAAGGAACAUCAGUGGCGAAGGCGGCUUCCUGGACCAAUACUGACGAUCAGGUGCGAAAGCGUGGGGAGCAAACAGG